ACUCCGAUGGCCUAGUGGUUAAAGCGUCCGCCUUGGAUGCGGGAGGUCACGGAGAACCCCGGUCGAAUCA